GCCGGGCAUGGUGGUGCAUGCCUAUAAUUCUAGCAGCUUGGGAAGCUGAGGCAGGAGGAUUGUGAGUUCAAAGCCAGCCUCUGCAAAGGUGAAGCACUAGGCAACUCAGCAAGACCCUGUCUCUA
rnacentral:sRNA from 1 species